UAACGUAAUGGAAUUCAAAUUGACAUGGAUUUAGAAACAUUGCGACACUGAAGUAAUUACAAGCCGGAACGGAUUCAUGUGACGCCAGUUGUGUAAGAAGACUGGAUAAAUGAGAACGGUAUAAGCAUUGUAUAUACAACGCACCACCAACCUGGCGCCAAGACUGCCUGUCAUCAGACAGAAAUGCCAACCCAGGCUGUCCAAGAGACUUCAUGUUUAGCAGAGUCUACAUACAGGGACGAGCAUUACGCAGCUCCUUGUCAACAACCAGAACACGCUCAAGAAUACUGCCAAUUAACAUGUCUGGAUGUCGAGUUAUCUGACUUCUUUGGAUUUUAGAACUUCUUGUAAUUUAUUAUAUGCAAAUCUGCAUUAAUAACAGUCACUGUAAGAGACUGUGGCUGUAGAUUGAUGUGAAUUUGAUAACCGACUUUUCUUGGUUUGACGCCGCGGGUGUCAUAUGGGUUAUCUCAAAUGUGUCAAACAUGUCCUUAAAUCAAACAUAUUAAGUCUAAUGCUGCAUAGAGCUUACAUUUUACACGUU